GAAGGGGGAGAAUGUAGCGGUCAUUUCACUCGGUUUAUGAUUUUAAUUCUGGCGCGUCCAGGCACCGUUUGAUUUGCCAUACCUCUCUCAUCACUCCUUUUAUUUUUCCUACUUUUCUCUUUGCCCUCCUCUGCUUGCCUCGGUGCAGCAGCUGGUUUGAGUCAGUCAUCAAGAUGUAGUCAACCAGUUGAGUAGAGCUUCGGCUCUUCCCAUGCUCUGGCAUGUGGAAUUUGUUCUAUUAAACCCGAGUGAUCCACUCGUUGGCUCUGCCAUCCUUUUACCUCGGGUUUUUCACGUUCCUCUUUAAUGUUGUGUAACGUCACUAUGAUUUGAUUCAAGAACAAUACUGGUUUGGAUUCCUACUAUGACAUUUGAAGAUUUUAGUGAUUCCUGUUAUAUUGUAUUUGAGUUUAGCUAUGUGCUUCUCGUGAGUUGAGUCUGUGGAUUUGUUUGAGCUUAUUUAGCUUCUAUUUUAUUUAGAUUUGAGUUGCCUUUUGUGCACUUUUAUUGUUGAGUUGAGUUGAGAGUUUUUGGAACGCUUUGUUCCUCGUUGAGAGUUGAGUGGAUCCUAAUGUGAUCUUUUAGAUUUUAAGCGUUGAGCUAGUGUAAUGGAGUUCUUUAGUAAGUAAGUUUAGCUUUGCGACAUAAGGUUCUAUGUGUGUAUCUUGUUAUCUAGUGUGUAAUAGUUGUCUUUAUUAAAGUUUGAUGCAUUGAA